CAUGCAAGUCGAACGGAAAGGCCCUUCGGGGUACACGAGUGGCGAACGGGUGAGUAACACGUGGGUGAUCUGCCCUGCACUUUGGGAUAAGCCUGGGAAACUGGGUCUAAUACCGAAUACACCCUGCUGGUCGCAUGGCCUGGUGGGGGAAAGCUUUUGCGGUGUGGGAUGGACCCGCGGCCUAUCAGCUUGUUGGUGGGGUGAUGGCCUACCAAGGCGACGACGGGUAGCCGGCCUGAGAGGGUGUCCGGCCACACUGGGACUGAGAUACGGCCCAGACUCCUACGGGAGGCAGCAGUGGGGAAUAUUGCACAAUGGGCGCAAGCCUGAUGCAGCGACGCCGCGUGAGGGAUGACGGCCUUCGGGUUGUAAACCUCUUUCAAUAGGGACGAAGCGCAAGUGACGGUACCUAUAGAAGAAGCACCGGCCAACUACGUGCCAGCAGCCGCGGUAAUACGUAGGGUGCGAGCGUUGUCCGGAAUUACUGGGCGUAAAGAGCUCGUAGGUGGUUUGUCGCGUUGAUGGUGAAAACUCACA
rnacentral:rRNA from 1 species